GAUGAACGCUAGCUACAGGCUUAACACAUGCAAGUCGCGGGGCAGCAUGGGGGUUGCUUGCAACCCCUGAUGGCGACCGGCGCACGGGUGAGUAACGCGUAUCCAACCUGCCCUUCACCACGGGAUAACCCGGCGAAAGUCGGACUAAUACCGUAUGUUGUCCAUUGACGGCAUCCGAUUUGGACGAAGGGCUUGGCGGGGAAAGGAUGGGGAGGCGUCCGAUUAGCUUGACGGCGGGGUAACGGCCCACCGUGGCUACGAUCGGUAGGGGGUCUGAGAGGAAGGUCCCCCACGCUGGAACUGAGACACGGUCCAGACUCCUACGGGAGGCAGCAGUGAGGAAUAUUGGUCAAUGGGCGUAAGCCUGAACCAGCCAAGUAGCGUGCAGGAUGACGGCCCUAUGGGUUGUAAACUGCUUUUAUGCGGGGAUAAAGUGGCCCACGUGUGGGCUUUUGCAGGUACCGCAUGAAUAAGGACCGGCUAAUUCCGUG
rnacentral:rRNA from 1 species